UGCCGAAACGCCAGGCGCGUCUGCGCGCCGGCGUCCGGUGGGGAUGGCCGCCCACCGCUGAGGAUUGGCAGGCCGAC
rnacentral:hammerhead_ribozyme from 1 species